rnacentral:ncRNA from 1 species
AGCUAAAAAGUUUUUUAAGAAAUGUGUAUUUGUGGAAUAUGAGGGUGUUUAGCUUUAAAUUUUGAUUGUGAAUUAAUUUAAGUUAAGUUGGUAUUAUUUAUUUUGAAUUUAUAUGGUGGACAAUAAAUUAUGAUCCUCUAAUUUUAGCAUUUGUAUAUGAAUUGUACCAGAAUAAUCGGAUAGGCUUUUUAAAUUUGUACUUUAAUUGUGAUGAGUAAUAUUUUUAAAAGAAGAAAUGGUGUUUUAUGGUGAAAUGUAAAAUAUGUUUGAAAUUAAAAAUUUUUAUUUAAAAUUAAAAUAAUAAAACCAGUUUAGUAUCUGGGUAUUUUUUGGUUAUUAUUGCAGAAGUAUAAUAAUGUUGAAACUGAAAAAAUAUUGGCAGACACUAAAAUUAUUUUUGGAGGUUGAGAAUAAACCGGUAAUCCUCGUUUUUAACUAUUUUUUUGGGGGCAUGUAUGAUUGUUAAUUAUGAUUUUAAUAAUUAUAAUAAAAAAAUUAUAUUUGUGUGAUUAAAUAAAUAUCUGCUGUAAAAGUUAGUUUUUGUUGACCUACAAUUUUUGGUAAAAGUGAAUUUAUUGAUAAAAGUUAAUAAUGAAAGUGUAAAAAACAGUAAUUCUUUUUUUAUGAAAAAAUGAAGAGUAUUUUAGUGUGGUACAAAUCAUCCAUCAAUUACUUAAAGAGUAGUAAGUUGUAGCAAAGUAGAUGUAGGGGAACCUGUAUCUAAUAAAAUAU